rnacentral:tRNA from 1 species
AAACUUAUUAUAUUUUUUUGUAUAUUAAAUUGCAAAUUUAAAGGAUGAAGUUUA